rnacentral:rRNA from 17 species
AUGAGCCCUCAUAUCAUGUGGAGUGCACCGGAUCUCAUCCGAACUCCGUAGUUAAGCCACAUAGAGCGCGUCUAGUACUGCCGUAGGGGACUAGGUGGGAAGCACGCGUGGGGCUCAUU